UCGUGGUGAUACCUCUUGAGCAUAGAGACAUGGAAAACAUCAUGUAGGCCAGAGAAUUCAGAGGGUAAAGCAAAAUUAUAUGACACAGGGCCUACAUACUCCAAAAUCUCAAAAUGUCCAAUAAAACAAGGGCUUAACUUUCCUCUCUUCCCAUACCGCAUUUUCUAUUGUAUUGAAAAACCUUCAAAAUGUGGUCACCCACAAUAAAUUUCAAAGCUCUCAUUCAGUUGUCAGCAUAACUCUUUUGACAACUCUACAUGGGAAUGAAGUUCUUAUGGACGACGAUAACUUUGUCAACGGUCUCCUGGAUGUAAUCCAUUCCUGGGAGAUGUUUGUUCUCUAUUUCAUUCCAAUAGGAUGGGGAUCGAUAGGGCCAACCAUAGAGAGCU
rnacentral:lncRNA from 1 species